UACGGGGGGGGCAAGCGUUGUUCGGAAUUACUGGGCGUAAAGGGUUUGUAGGUGGCCUGCUAAGUCAGACGUGAAAUCCCUCAGCUUAACUGGGGAACUGCGUCUGAGACUGGUGGGCUCGAGGACAGGAGAGGAACGCGGAAUUCCAGGUGUAGCGGUGAAAUGCGUAGAUAUUCGGAAGAACACCAGUGGCGAAGGCGGCUCACUGGCCCGGUACUGACGCUGAGGUGCGAAAGCGUGGGGAGCAAACAGG
rnacentral:rRNA from 1 species